CCCUUAGACGUUCUGGGCCGCACGCGCGCUACACUGACCAGUGCAACAAGCAUCCGUCCUUGGCCGACAGGCCCGGGCAAUCUUUGAACGCUGGUCGUGAUGGGGAUAGACUUUUGCAAUUUUUGGUCUUCAACGAGGAAUUCCUAGUAAACACAAGUCAUCAACUUGCAUUGAUUACGUCCCUGCCCUUUGUACACACCGCCCGUCGCACCUACUGAUUGAAUGGUCCGGUGAAUCUUUAGGACUGUGGCUGAGGCCUUGCCUUGUGCGGGUCUGGCCGUGGGAAUUUAGUUAAACCUUACCAUUUAGAGGAAGGUGAANUCGUAACA
rnacentral:rRNA from 1 species